rnacentral:rRNA from 1 species
UACAGAGGUCUCAAGCGUUUGUUCGGAUUCAUUGGGCGUAAAGGGUGCGUAGGUGGCGCCGUAAGUCGGGUGUGAAAUUUCGGAGCUUAACUCCGAAACUGCAUUCGAUACUGCGGUGCUUGAGGACUGGAGAGGAGACUGAAAUUCAUGGUGUAGCAGUGAAAUGCGUAGAGAUCAUGAGGAAGACCAGUGGCGAAGGCGGGUCUCUGGACAGUUCCUGACACUGAGGCACGAAGGCCAGGGGAGCAAACGGG